AAACAACAGGAUUGCCUUAGUAGCGGCGAGUGAAGCGGCAAAAGCUCAAAUUUGAAAUCUGGCACUUUCAGUGUCCGAGUUGUAAUUUGAAGAAGGUAUCUUUGGGUCUGGCUCUUGUCUAUGUUUCUUGGAACAGAACGUCACAGAGGGUGAGAAUCCCGUGCGAUGAGAUGACCCAGACCUAUGUAAAGUUCCUUCGAAGAGUCGAGUUGUUUGGGAAUGCAGCUCUAAGUGGGUGGUAAAUUCCAUCUAAAGCUAAAUAUUGGCGAGAGACCGAUAGCGAACAAGUACAGUGAUGGAAAGAUGAAAAGAACUUUGAAAAGAGAGUGAAAAAGUACGUGAAAUUGUUGAAAGGGAAGGGCUUGAGAUCAGACUUGGUAUUUUGUAUGUUACUCUUUCGGGGGUGGCCUCUACAGUUUACCGGGCCAGCAUCAGUUUGGGCGGUAGGAGAAUUGCAAAGAAAUGUGGCACUGCUUCGGUAGUGUGUUAUAGUCUUUGUCGAUACUGCCAGCCUAGACUGAGGACUGCGGCUUCGGCCUAGGAUGUUGGCAUAAUGAUCUUAAGUCGCCCGUCUUGAAACACGGACCAAGGAGUCUAACGUCUAUGCAAGUGUUUGGGUGUAAAACCCGUACGCGUAAUGAAAGUGAACGUAGGUAGGACCUCCUUUAGGAGUG
rnacentral:rRNA from 1 species